rnacentral:tmRNA from 1 species
GGGGACGUAAUGGUUUUGACAGGAUGUUCCGGUUGAAUCAGGUUGCGAGUCCGGGCGCUGUUCCCGGUUAUCAACGAGCAAAAAAAUAAGUGCUAAAUACACAGUAGAUGCCACAGAUGCAUUUGCAGCAGUAGCUGCAAGAAACGCAUUGGCUGCUUAGUUGCAGUCGGCCACUUUGCGAGCCCAGCUUGCCGGUUUGUAAGGUCAAUUAUGCAAGACGCAGUACCGUAAUGGUGGUAACGGUAUCAAGACAACUGCCAGGGGUUUAGAGUUUCCCUAAAAUAAAACCUAGGAUAUAGUUAACGGUUAUGUUAUUUUCCGGAUUGUAUCGAGAGAAAAAUAACUACACUCGUAGAAACUUGCUUUGAUCCAUUUUGGACGUGGGUUCGACUCCCACCGUCUCCACCA